GGGUGUCAAAAAUAAAACAUGAAUAUGCUAACAUACAACAGUAUCCCCAACUACAAACUGUACAAAGUGACCUAUCUAUGAAUCCUUGUGGUUAGAAAGAUGGGCUACACUACACCCCAUUACCCAUUUUCAUCAAUCUUUUCUUCUACCACUAGUCCAAGUACAAUUACAGGACAUUGAGAUUAACAUACCUACGUAAGCAUAAGGGCCUAAACUUUACAUUCAUAUGUGAUCAGUUCCAACCACUAGCCAAAUUUAUUACUGUGUUGCUGUUUACAACAUUAAAUAGCUUUCAUCUUCCUUCACCUUCUGCCAACUACACUGCCUAAACAAAAUGCAUAGAAUCUAAGAAAGAACCACAGCUUAGUGUCUUCUUCCUCCAGACAAGAAGACAGUUUUCAAGCUCAACUGCUUACCUUGCUUGCCUUGAUCCUGAUUUUCGUACUUUAUGCUUCCAUUUGCUAAGAGGCUCAUCAUCAGAUAUGUUAGCAUCCUCCGCAUCAGGACUUGAUUCUAUACGCGGUUU
rnacentral:misc_RNA from 1 species